ACCUGGCUAGCUCAGUUGGUAUAGCAUGAGACUCUUAAUUUUAGAGUUGUGAGUUCAAACCCCACGUGGAGUG
rnacentral:tRNA from 1 species